rnacentral:rRNA from 1 species
GUGCCAGCGCCGCGGUAAUACCGGCCGCCCGAGUGAUGGCCGAUAUUAUUGGGCCUAAAGCGUCCGUAGCUGGCCGACCAAGUCUCACGGGAAAUCCACCCGCCCAACGGGUGGGCGUCAGGUAGAAACUGGCCGGCUUGGAACCGGAAGGCUCAGAGAGUACGUCCGGGGUAGGAGUGAAAUCCCGUAAUCCCGGACGGACUACCGAUGGCGAAAGCACUCUGAGAAGACGGCUUCGACAGUGAGGGACGAAAGCUCGGGUCUCAAACCGGAUUAGAAACCCCAGUAGUCC